rnacentral:lncRNA from 1 species
AUUGCGUUGCAGUCGCACAAGGUGGUGACGCCUGUGUUUAAUUUAUGACAAUGACACGUUAAGCACCAGGGAAACGAGAAUGAAAGUUGAUGAGACAUACAGAAGGAACAUGAAAAACAAGGAACAAGAAGCAGUCGAUUCUGCCUCCUUUUCAGAAUUUACUCUACCUGAUAAUGUAGAUGAACUGAGCCCUUGUAUUUUAAGAUAUUUUGGGACGACACUAUUACUCAAAAUAUUAAUUGUUAAACAAACAUGCAGUAGAAAUACAACACAGAACGAGUUUGUCAUACCGAUUUAGAACUGAUAGAGCUAUCCAAGGAACAUAAAUAAAGUUCGUUUAGGUUUCCUCCCAUAGUAAUCCUGAAUCAAUAUAAGAG